GGUUAAGCGACUAAGCGUACACGGUGGAUGCCCUGGCAGUCAGAGGCGAUGAAGGACGUGCUAAUCUGCGAUAAGCGUCGGUGAGGUGAUAUGAACCGUUAUAACCGGCGAUUUCCGAAUGGGGAAACCCAGUGUGUUUCGACACACUAUCAUUAACUGAAUCCAUAGGUUAAUGAGGCGAACCGGGGGAACUGAAACAUCUAAGUACCCCGAGGAAAAGAAAUCAACCGAGAUUCCCCCAGUAGCGGCGAGCGAACGGGGAGGAGCCCAGAGCCUGAAUCAGUGUGUGUGUUAGUGGAAGCGUCUGGAAAGGCGUGCGAUACAGGGUGACAGCCCCGUACACAAAAAUGCACAUAUUGUGAGCUCGAUGAGUAGGGCGGGACACGUGGUAUCCUGUCUGAAUAUGGGGGGACCAUCCUCCAAGGCUAAAUACUCCUGACUGACCGAUAGUGAACCAGUACCGUGAGGGAAAGGCGAAAAGAACCCCGGCGAGGGGAGUGAAAAAGAACCUGAAACCGUGUACGUACAAGCAGUGGGAGCCUCUUAAUGGGGUGACUGCGUACCUUUUGUAUAAUGGGUCAGCGACUUAUAUUCUGUAGCAAGGUUAACCGAAUAGGGGAGCCGAAGGGAAACCGAGUCUUAACUGGGCGUUAAGUUGCAGGGUAUAGACCCGAAACCCGGUGAUCUAGCCAUGGGCAGGUUGAAGGUUGGGUAACACUAACUGGAGGACCGAACCGACUAAUGUUGAAAAAUUAGCGGAUGACUUGUGGCUGGGGGUGAAAGGCCAAUCAAACCGGGAGAUAGCUGGUUCUCCCCGAAAGCUAUUUAGGUAGCGCCUCGUGAAUUCAUCUCCGGGGGUAGAGCACUGUUUCGGCAAGGGGGUCAUCCCGACUUACCAACCCGAUGCAAACUGCGAAUACCGGAGAAUGUUAUCACGGGAGACACACGGCGGGUGCUAACGUCCGUCGUGAAGAGGGAAACAACCCAGACCGCCAGCUAAGGUCCCAAAGUCAUGGUUAAGUGGGAAACGAUGUGGGAAGGCCCAGACAGCCAGGAUGUUGGCUUAGAAGCAGCCAUCAUUUAAAGAAAGCGUAAUAGCUCACUGGUCGAGUCGGCCUGCGCGGAAGAUGUAACGGGGCUAAACCAUGCACCGAAGCUGCGGCAGCGACACUAUGUGUUGUUGGGUAGGGGAGCGUUCUGUAAGCCUGUGAAGGUGGCCUGUGAGGGUUGCUGGAGGUAUCAGAAGUGCGAAUGCUGACAUAAGUAACGAUAAAGCGGGUGAAAAGCCCGCUCGCCGGAAGACCAAGGGUUCCUGUCCAACGUUAAUCGGGGCAGGGUGAGUCGACCCCUAAGGCGAGGCCGAAAGGCGUAGUCGAUGGGAAACAGGUUAAUAUUCCUGUACUUGGUGUUACUGCGAAGGGGGGACGGAGAAGGCUAUGUUGGCCGGGCGACGGUUGUCCCGGUUUAAGCGUGUAGGCUGGUUUUCCAGGCAAAUCCGGAAAACCAAGGCUGAGGCGUGAUGACGAGGCACUACGGUGCUGAAGCGACAAAUGCCCUGCUUCCAGGAAAAGCCUCUAAGCAUCAGGUAACAUCAAAUCGUACCCCAAACCGACACAGGUGGUCAGGUAGAGAAUACCAAGGCGCUUGAGAGAACUCGGGUGAAGGAACUAGGCAAAAUGGUGCCGUAACUUCGGGAGAAGGCACGCUGAUAUGUAGGUGAAGCGACUUGCUCGUGGAGCUGAAAUCAGUCGAAGAUACCAGCUGGCUGCAACUGUUUAUUAAAAACACAGCACUGUGCAAACACGAAAGUGGACGUAUACGGUGUGACGCCUGCCCGGUGCCGGAAG
rnacentral:rRNA from 1 species